CCUACCUCUAGAGAUGUUGCAGGUGUGGCUGCUGUGUCACUUGUGCAUCUGUAGGUGACAGAGAGGAGGGAGGCUAUAUCUCUGCUCAGUGUUCUGACCUGUGAACAACUGACUGAUUAGUAGCCUAACAGU